GCUAAACAGCGAACGGCAAAAGCAAAGGAAAACGGUCACAAAUUUUUAAACUAACUACGCGCCUAGCUUUGAUUUCCCUUAAGACUAUUCAUCUCAACAUAUUCAUAUCUUAUGUACUCGUAGAUACAAAUUUUAAUUCAAUAAAUUCUCCAAAGAAGGCAGCAAAAUUUAAAGAUAAAAACAAAAAGAAAUCAACCGGAACAGCGCAAAACUGUUGCUUCUGCUGCUGUCGCUACGGUGCUGCGCGGCGGCCUAUCUGAUGAUGAAGAUGAUGAUCGCGUCGAGAAACGUGUAUGAUGUCAGAAGACUUGCAAACCAUCAACUUCCAUCAAGUUGAUGACCCUAACAAUUGGACCAGAAAAUGUAUACCUAUGUAUUUAUUUAUUUUUGACCAAAGUCACAUUUUUUGGUCUAAAUCAGUUGUUGGCAUUCAUUGGAAUUAUGAAUAAGAGCCAAUAAAUCAUCAUUUAAUUAUACCUCUAUGAUAUUGAUACACAUGCCUCGCGCCACCAGACAACCACCACUUUAGCCAAGGGACACAUUCGUAUCAAACGAUAUAAAUAAUUGUAUGUAUGGCGGUGAAUGCGACUCGGCGGUGGGUGGAAGUGGAGACAGAUGGGUUGGAAUAUUGUAGAAAAAGAACCAGACAACAAUCGGCAAAUAAAUUGAAAUCAAUCAGGCGAUAUGUAUCGCUUCGCCAUUCUAGUUAGUAGGUACCUAGGUAUCUAGUAGCAAGAAGUGAGAUGUGGAUAAAAUGUGGCAUGAUGGUGUUGCUUUGGCAACAACCUUCGCCUCCUUCACCAUCCCAACUCAUAAAAUUGGCGCAGAAUUUCAACGUAGAAAACAGAGAAAUCGUUUUAUAAUACAUAUAUACACGAGUAUGAUAGGUAAAUAGGUGAAUAAAACAACGUACAACUUCAACUUACCAGAUCAACAGAUAGCCCGGAUAGGUCAGCCAGCCAUAGGAAUGUCCGACUGCCAUCAUAGUAAGUGUCUUCAUCCGCAGCAGAUUGGGUCGGGAUGGGAAACUCUUCGAGCAUUUUGCGUGUGGGAUUUGUGAACCGCGAUGAAUUGCAGAAAUGUCGAUAUUAAAAAUAAAAUAAUAUGAAAUACUUCGUCUUCUUUUUAGACCAACAGAACAGAACUUAAACUGUUUGCUUUUGCAGAGGUAUCAUUCAGGUAAAAGAGUAAAUAAAAAUAGGACGCGCGAUGUUUAGAAUCUUCGUUAGCUAUCCUCCCCCGAGUGAAGGAUAAUUCGCU